UCACAGUUUGCACUGGCAGUCUUGCGAAAGAUCUGUUUCCAAACCGGUCAAUCUACAUUUAAGCCUUGGUAAGGUUCCUCGCGUAUCAUCGAAUUAAACCACAUGCUCCACCGCUUGUGCGGGCCCCCGUCAAUUCCUUUGAGUUUCAAACUUGCGUUCGUACUCCCCAGGUGGGAUACUUAUCACUUUCGCUUAGCCACUGAGAUUGCUCCCAACAGCUAGUAUCCAUCGUUUACGGCGUGGACUAC
rnacentral:misc_RNA from 1 species